rnacentral:ncRNA from 2 species
GCCAUACAUCAAGAGUCGGGCCGACGCCCGGCACCAACCUGCUCCCGAGCAAGGUGGUACCCCGUCACAAGCGGGGGAUGUGGCCGGACCGGCAACCAACGGGACCCCA